UACGUAGGGUGCGAGCGUUGUCCGGAAUUAUUGGGCGUAAAGAGCUCGUAGGCGGUCUGUCGCGUCUGCUGUGAAAUCCCGAGGCUCAACCUCGGGCCUGCAGUGGGUACGGGCAGACUAGAGUGCGGUAGGGGAGAUUGGAAUUCCUGGUGUAGCGGUGGAAUACGCAGAUAUCAGGAGGAACACUGAUGGCGAAGGCAGAUCUCUGGGCCGUAACUGACGCUGAGGAGCGAAAGCGUGGGGAGCGAACAGG
rnacentral:rRNA from 1 species